rnacentral:rRNA from 1 species
UACAGAGGAUGCAAGCGUUAUCCGGAAUGAUUGGGCGUAAAGCGUCUGUAGGUGGCUUUUUAAGUCCGCCGUCAAAUCCCAGGGCUCAACUCUGGACAGGCGGUGGAAACUACCAAGCUGGAGUACGGUAGGGGCAGAGGGAAUUUCCGGUGGAGCGGUGAAAUGCGUAGAUAUCUGGAGGAACACCGGUGGCGAAGGCGGCAUCCUGGACCGACACUGACGCUGAGGCGCGAAAGCUAGGGGAGCAAACGGG